rnacentral:rRNA from 1 species
UACGUAGGGUGCAGGCGUUAAUCGGAAUUACUGGGCGUAAAGCGUGCGCAGGCGGUUUGCUAAGACAGGUGUGAAAGCCCCCGGCUCAACUGGGGAGGGUCACGCGAUACUGAUCGACUCGAAGGCAGGAGAGGGAAGUGGAAUUCCCGGUGUAGUGGUGAAAUGCGUAGAUAUCGGGAGGAACACCAGUGGCGAAGGCGACUUCCUGGCCUGUUCUUGACGCUGAGGCGCGAAAGCUAGGGGAGCAAACGGG